UACGGAGGGUGCAAGCGUUAAUCGGAAUUACUGGGCGUAAAGCGUGCGCAGGCGGUUUUUUAAGUCUGAGGUGAAAGCCCCGGGCUUAACCUGGGAAUUGCGUUGGAGACUGCAAGGCUUGAAUCUGGCAGAGGGGGGUAGAAUUCCACGUGUAGCAGUGAAAUGCGUAGAGAUGUGGAUGAACACCGAUGGCGAAGGCAGCCCCCUGGGUCAAGAUUGACGCUCAUGCACGAAAGCGUGGGGAGCAAACAGG
rnacentral:rRNA from 1 species